AUUGAGACAACAGUCCUCCAGACUGUCCUUGCUUGGACUCCCAGGACAUGGGGUAAGGACACAAGACCAGUAGCGCAGUGGCUCUGUGGUUAGAAUGGAGACUGGUCGAUCAGCAAGUCCAGGUUUGAGACCUGAAUACUGCAUGGUGAAUUCCCACCACUCGCUCCAGCUUCUGUCCACCUAGCAGUAUGAAGGCAUGUGUAAAUGUGAUUAGAUGAAUAGGUAUCACUUCUGUGGAACUCACGCAAGGAGAGAAGGGAGCCCUCAUUGGAUGUCUCCUAGGCAACAGUGAUGUCACUAAUAUCUCUCAACCCAGAAGCACCUUGAAGUGCCAAAUAUCUAUUGUCUCCAAUACUGUAGACUCCCAGCUUUCUGUAAAAUUGCCCUAUGGUAAAUAAACAAAUAAAUAAGAA